rnacentral:piRNA from 1 species
UGAGGAUUUGACAGGACUUGAUGGU